GGAACAUGACACCAAAACUAAGAGUCCAAUCAAGCAGGAGACACCAGCCUCCCCUGUACCCAGCUGUGUGUCCAUGAAGAGUGGCAAGUCUAUGGAACAACCUCUAAACUUUAGAGAGGGAGACUUUUCUAGUGAACAAAGUGGAAGGUCUACUCUGUUAGAGGAUCCAGUCCAGGCGUGCAGUGUGUCAGCAGGUGCUGAGGGAUCCAGUCUCUAUCACCUGUGGACACAGGUUCUGCAGACAGUGCAUCACCAGAUACUGGGAGAAACCUGCUCC